GAGGUCGAACGAACCCCUAGGUUAGUGGCGGACGGACGAGUAACGCGUGGGAGUCUGCCCUCAGGAGGGGGAUAGGCGCUGGAAACGGCGCCUAAUACCCCAUAUGCCGAGAGGUGAAAUGAAUUUCGCCUGAGGAUGAGCUCGCGUCUGAUUAGCUAGUUGGUGAGGUAAUGGCUCACCAAGGCAACGAUCAGUAGCUGGUCUGAGAGGAUGAUCAGCCGGACUGGGACUGAGACACGGCCCAGACUCCUACGGGAGGCACGGGUGGGGAAUUUUCCGCAAUGGGCGAAAGCCUGACGGAGCAACGCCGCGUGAGGGAUGAAGGCCUCUGGGCUGUAAACCUCUUUUAUCAAGGAAGAAGAUCUGACGGUACUUGAUGAAUAAGCCACGGCUAAUUCCGUGCCAGCAGCCGCGGUAAUACGGGAGUGGCAAGCGUUAUCGGAUAUUAUUGGGCGUAAAGCGUCCAGCGGUGGUUUUGAAAGUCUGUUGUUAAAGCGUGGAGCUUAACUCCAUUUCAGCAAUGGAAACUGCAAGACUAGAGUGUGGUGGGGGCAGAGGUCGGUCGCGGUGUAGCGGUGAAAUGCGUAGAUAUCGAGACAAACACCACUAGUGCGAGCGCUCUGCUGCAUCAUAACUGACGCUCAUGGACGACAGCCAGAGCGAGAUAAGUGUGUAGUCUGCGCUGUAUUGCUGGCCGUAAACGAUGAACACUAGGUGUCGGGGGAGUCGACCCCCUCGGUGUCGUAGCUAACGCGUU
rnacentral:rRNA from 1 species